UUUCGUUUACCUGCUCCUCGCCCGCCCCGGUGCCCGGCACCGCACGCGGGAUGGGUGGUCUCGAUCGGUGGCGCUUCCGUUCUUUCGCGGGGCUGGUUGCAGCGUGCGGGUGGCUGCUCCGUUUCUUCCUCGCCGCAUGCAUAGCUAAUUUACGACGCCAUGUAGACAUGUAGUACGGCAGCGGCGAUGUCCCGAGCUCGCUACAUUCGUUCGCGGCCACAUGCCAUGCCAUGCUACACGUAUGGGCACGGUUCAUCGUUCAUAUGGUGCUUUACGAAUAUGGGAGUCACUAGCUUCGUCUAUAGGUAAUGAACACUUCGAUCCUUUUAUUUCACUCUUUUAUCUCUAUUUUUAACUUUUAUUUGUGCUUAUAAGUUAGAACUUGAAUUUUUCAAUCUUAAAUUUAAAAAUAAUUUUAUGUUAUUUUAUAGUCGUUUAUGUUUCAGUUUUAUUUUAGAUUAUUAGAAACAUAUAUAUAACAAUUUUAUUUAUAAAUUAUUUUGUGUUUUUAAUACGUCGCUUCUUCUAAAAAAGAUGACCCAUUCUGCUACAGGCCUCGAGGGUAUCCAAGCCGGCGGGAGUGCAUAGUCAGGAGCGAUCAUAUUGCCUUCAGGGAAGGCAUUUUCUUUCUUUUCCAUAUGACGCUUUUCUUUCUUUUUCAUGUUAUCCUGUACUGCCGCAUAUCACUUCGAUGUUUUACUCGUAUUUUUUCUAUAUAUAUAUAUAAAGCAAUCUUCAGGUUUACGCCAUGCCCCUAGCUACCGCAAGCUUCAUGUAUAGCCUGAUUGGCCUCAGCAGGAUGUACAUUUUCCCUGUCAAUCACUUAUCUUGUCAUUGUCCUUUUCAACAGUUCAUGUCCAAUGAUUAUACAUUGUCAGGUACGGCGUGUAUUUUCUUGUCACACGAAACUUUACACCCCUCCUUGUACAGUGAAGUUCCUCGAGUGGACUUUUAACCCAUGUUUUAAUGUGAUCAAGGUUUGCGGCAACUUUUUAGUGUCAUUAAAAUCCUAUUCAAAGUACAUCAGGUUGCGCGAACUACCUGCUCCCUC
rnacentral:lncRNA from 1 species